AGACCCGAAACCCGGUGAUCUAGCCAUGGGCAGGUUGAAGGUUGGGUAACACUAACUGGAGGACCGAACCGACUAAUGUUGAAAAAUUAGCGGAUGACCUGUGGCUGGGGGUGAAAGGCCAAUCAAACCGGGAGAUAGCUGGUUCUCCCCGAAAGCUAUUUAGGUAGCGCCUCGUGAAUUCAUCUCCGGGGGUAGAGCACUGUUUCGGCUAGGGGGCCAUCCCGGCUUACCAACCCGAUGCAAACUGCGAAUACCGGAGAAUGUUAUCACGGGAGACACACGGCGGGUGCUAACGUCCGUCGUGAAGAGGGAAACAACCCAGACCGCCAGCUAAGGUCCCAAAGUCAUGGUUAAGUGGGAAACGAUGUGGGAAGGCCCAGACAGCCAGGAUGUUGGCUUAGAAGCAGCCAUCAUUUAAAGAAAGCGUAAUAGCUCACUGGUCGAGUCGGCCUGCGCGGAAGAUGUAACGGGGCUAAACCAUGCACCGAAGCUGCGGCAGCGAACGUAUCACUUAAAGCGAUUCAGCGGGUUACGAUUGACGGAGCGAAGCGACGUCAAAGCGUAUACAAAGUCGAGUCGGUUUA
rnacentral:rRNA from 9 species